rfam:Schistosoma mattheei strain Denwood, Zambia genome assembly, scaffold: SMTD_contig0000010
AUCUGGCUGACGAGUCUUAAGUUGGACGAAACGCAAGUCCUGGAU